rnacentral:rRNA from 1 species
GCGAACGGGAUUAGAUACCCUGGUAGUCCACGCUGUAAACGAUGUCGAUUUGGAGGUUGUGCCCUUGAGGCGUGGCUUCCGGAGCUAACGCGUUAAAUCGACCGCCUGGGGAGUACGGCCGCAAGGUUAAAACUCAAAUGAAUUGACGGGGGCCCGCACAAGCGGUGGAGCAUGUGGUUUAAUUCGAUGCAACGCGAAGAACCUUACCUACUCUUGACAUCCAGAGAACUUUCCAGAGAUGGAUUGGUGCCUUCGGGAACUCUGAGACAGGUGCUGCAUGGCUGUCGUCAGCUCGUGUUGUGAAAUGUUGGGUUAAGUCCCGCAACGAGCGCAACCCUUAUCCUUUGUUGCCAGCGGUUCGGCCGGGAACUCAAAGGAGACUGCCAGUGAUAAACUGGAGGAAGGUGGGGAUGACGUCAAGUCAUCAUGGCCCUUACGAGUAGGGCUACACACGUGCUACAAUGGCAUAUACAAAGAGAAGCGACCUCGCGAGAGCAAGCGGACCUCAUAAAGUAUGUCGUAGUCCGGAUUGGAGUCUGCAACUCGACUCCAUGAAGUCGGAAUCGCUAGUAAUCGUAGAUCAGAAUGCUACGGUGAAUACGUUCCCGGGCCUUGUACACACCGCCCGUCACACCAUGGGAGUGGGUUGCAAAAGAAGUAGGUAGCUUAACCUUCGGGAGGGCGCUUACCACUUUGUGAUUCAUGACUGG